rnacentral:snRNA from 1 species
AGCUUUGUGCAGUGGCAGUAUCGUAGCCAAUGAGGUUUACCCGAGGCGUGAUUAUUGCUAAUUGAAAACUUCAUUCAGGAGCACCUGGGUGGCUCGGUCAGUUAACUAUCUGCCUUCAGC